GCGGCCUGACUCCGGUUGAUCCUGCCGGACCCGACCGCUAUCGGGGUGGGGCUAACCCAUGGAAGUCUAGGAGCCGGGGCAACGGCCGGCUCCGGCGGACGGCUCAGUAGCACGUGGCUAACCUACCCUCGGGAGGGGGAUAACCCCGGGAAACUGGGGAUAAUACCCCAUAGGCGCGAGCUCCUGGAAUGGGCUCGCGCCGAAAGGGGCGUAGCGCCAUGCCCGCUACGCCCGCCCGAGGAUGGGGCUGCGGCCUAUCAGGUAGUUGGCGGGGUAACGGCCCGCCAAGCCGAAGACGGGUGGGGGCCGUGAGAGCGGGAGCCCCGAGAUGGGCACUGAGACAAGGGCCCAGGCCCUACGGGGCGCACCAGGGGCGAAACUUCCGCAAUGCGGGAAACCGUGACGGAGUCACCCCGAGUGCCGCCCGAAGAGGGCGGCUUUUCCCCGGUCUAAAAAGCCGGGGGAUAAGCGGGGGGCAAGCCUGGUGUCAGCCGCCGCGGUAAUACCAGCCCCGCGAGUGGUCGGGACGUUUAUUGGGCCUAAAGCGUCCGUAGCCGGCCCGGUAAGUCCCCCCUUAAAGCCCACGGCUCAACCG
rnacentral:rRNA from 1 species